rnacentral:lncRNA from 1 species
CUCUUGGUAAGCUGUGCCAUAAGGAAAUGGACUUCCUUCUUAUUUGAUUUGCCAAUUUUUAAAACUGAACUUUAAAUAAAAGAAUUUUGGAAGAAUUAAGAAAACGGGAAACAUUGUGAUGAAGGCCAGAUGAUUAUUUGUCCUAAUGUUAUGAAUCAGUGACAAGAAAAGCUUGUCGUGGAAGCGCCAACGUGCCUUGAGAGACAUGAGCACUAGAGGUGGCUGCGAGCAGUGCUGGCGGGGCCCCCGGAGCCCCGCACCUGGCCCUGGGCGGGCUGGUGCGCUGUUCCCCAAAGGGCAGGCUCCACACGCGGUCUGUAGCACAGGAGUUCAGGAGGAAAACCAGAGGAAGUUUGGAUUUUCCCCUCUGGUCCAGGAGGAAAAUGCUCUUUGGGAAACGGAUGUGGACAUGUGAAGUCCCCCAGCUGCGAGCUCGGCGAAGCCAAGGCUGAAGGCACGUCGGAGCCCCAGCCUGCCCCUCACUGUUCCGAGGGCCCGGCAGCAGAGAGGACAGCAGCGGAAUUACAGGCGGGCUGCACCUGAAACAGGCUGCGGCCCCACCUGAAUUUCAGGUGCCCCGGGGAGGCCUUUCAACCACCUGGAAUUGAGGCUGUUUCAAGAUGUCAGGGAAGAGUUUUCCCGAUUGGAAAGAACAGCCUCGGGAGGAGGACAGCUGGACUCUGAUCAAUAGUCAUCGGACAAGUCACUGAACCUCCUUAGCAGAAGGAUGCCAUGAAUGAAGUGCCUCAUUACCAGCUCUGCUUUCCGGGUGUCUGUGCAGAGGAGCUGUCUGCUUUUGC